rnacentral:tRNA from 1 species
CCGUAGCUCAGUGGUUAGAGCAGUCGACUCAUAAUCGAUAGGUCGUAGGUUCGAUCCCUACCGGGCC